rnacentral:rRNA from 1 species
GACGAACGCUGGCGGCGUGCCUAAUACAUGCAAGUUGAGCGAUGAAGAUUGGUGCUUGCCCCAAUUUGAAGAGCAGCGCACGGGUGAGUAACGCGUGGGGAAUCUGCCUUUGAGCGGGGGACAACAUUUGGAAACGAAUGCUAAUACCGCAUAACAACUUUAAACAUAAGUUUUAAGUUUGAAAGAUGCAAUUGCAUCACUCAAAGAUGAUCCCGCGUUGUAUUAGCUAGUUGGUGAGGUAAAGGCUCACCAAGGCGAUGAUACAUAGCCGACCUGAGAGGGUGAUCGGCCACAUUGGGACUGAGACACGGCCCAAACGCCUACGGGAGGCAGCAGUAGGGAAGCUUCGGCAAUGGACGAAAGUCUGACCGAGCAACGCCGCGUGAGUGAAGAAGGGUUUCGGAUCGUAAAACUCUGUUGGUAGAGAAGAACGUUGGUGAGAGUGGAAAGCUCAUCAAGUGACGGUAACUACCCAGAAAGGGACGGCUAACUACGUG